AAAAAAUCUACACUAUAGUUGCAAGCCCACAUGUCUUAUCCAAAACAAUUCAAAUAAUAAAUUGGAAUUGGAAACAAAGCAAGAUAAAUGAAUGAAUCUCUAAACCUAAUCCCACGGAGGCGCAACCCCUUUCUUCUUCCUCCCACUCAUGUAAUCAGUCAAUACUGCCUCCAUAUUCCGGCCAGGUUGUCGCACCCUACCUCCACUCAAGAACUCAUCCAUCUAUAAAAGUGCAGUCGUCCUUGUGAACCCAAAGAAUCUCUGUUAGUGCUCGGAGCAGCCACCAGUUAAGAUGAGGCGAAUUUGGCGAGAGAAAGGCAUUUAGCCUUACGCAAUUAGACAGAGAAUGUGCAUUAUGCUAUUCCUUUAAAAUUCUUGUUUUCUUCUUCUAUAAUUUCACUGUUGCUUUAUCUUCUACAAUUCAUCACCUAAUUCUACUCAUUCUUCUAAUUUGUAUAAAUAUUAUUGUUCAAAUUGUAAUUUUCAAAUAUCUCAUAAGGUGGGUUGCAUUUGCGGACAGUAAAAUUUAAAUAUGGGUUUUUGUUGUUCAUAACUGUAGCGAUGGAUUCUGGGUAGCAGUUGGAGCAAAAAUUCUACUCUAUUUUUUGGUUUUGGUUCUUGAUUGGAGAUGUGAUUUCUUCCGAUCUGCUUUUCAUUUUGUUCCUCUACUUUAAUCUCUGGCUUAUCAGAAGAAGAAUCGAAGAAUAGGCAGAUGGAUUAAAUGAUUUUGGAGAGAGGUUGGAAAUUUUCUUUUGCAGGAUGAAAUUGUUGUUGUUUUCCAUCGUUAGGAGAAAAUUUGAAACAAAUUAAGUGGAGGAGUUCGUGUUUCGUAUAUGAAAAAAG
rnacentral:lncRNA from 1 species